GGGUUGUGAGGUUAAGCGACUAAGCGUACACGGUGGAUGCCCUGGCAGUCAGAGGCGAUGAAGGGCGUGCUAAUCUGCGAUAAGCGCCGGU
rnacentral:rRNA from 2 species